AGAGCUGUCACACGACCAUUCCCUGCGAAGAUGCUUUGACUCUGCAAACAAACUAAGUGUCCGCCGGUCAACGCUGGUCCUGUGGCACUACACAAAUGAUUACCUCCGCCAAGGUGUUUGUUACCUCCUGUGUUCGACAAUGGGACAAGAAGAAGAAAGCCCCACGACAGGUGGUGUUUGCCUCCCUGACUGUCCAACAUGGCCGCUGUUUGAUUGAAGCUAAAAAUGCUGCACGAUGAAUACACUGACCUCGAGCAGAUCGUUGACGUAUUAAAGAUCAAACUGUAUGGAGAUCAGACUUACUGUGAGCUGGUAGAUGUGCGACGGGCCCUCGGGGGCCGGGCCCUGGCUCCUGCAGCUCCAGCUCCAUGUAGUUGAGUUGCUUCUUCGAUGUGGGACUAACGGGAAUAUUCACAUAGGUCACACCUUCGCUGCAAGGCCGCUCUGGGAGAAGCGUCUCAGGGGGGAAAACGAACACUGUGCAAAAAAAUAACAAAUUGAGACAGUAGAAUUAUUGAGCUGGAAAUAGAAACGUUUAAAAAAAACAAUGUGGUUGCAUUCAGACGACUUUUCCCUCUGAUGGAUUUUUUUUUAAUGAUUUCAGAUGCUCAAGUAAUUUAGACAUGAAGAAUAUUGUCUUUCGAUUCUAAAAGCUUUUGUCAGCACAUAAUCACAAAGGGGAAAUUCUAAUGCACAGAAAACAUUAUCAAAUUGAAAAUGCAGCGAUUUC